rnacentral:lncRNA from 1 species
AUCCAUUAAAUUUCACGCUCUGAGCCUGAGCUAACUCAUUUAUCAGCCGACCCAGGUUUUCGCUUUCUUCCCAGUCAAUCUCCAAGCUCACCUCCUUUACCCAUUUAGAGCAGGAAUUUCUCACCAAGAUAUUUUGUGAGGAUGAGUCAGCUCAAGCACAAAGAGGGAGAAAGAGAACGCUCCCAACUUCUGAUUUUUUUUAUGAGGAGAUUGAGUCACUGCAGGUGCGAUGUCUCCGGUUUUUAGACAAAGAAAACGUCCGUUCACGUCAGGGCUCCUGCACUAUACGGCUUUUGGCGUCUUGCUGGAGGUAGAUUUUAGGAAGGAAAGGGGACGUGAGAAUCCUUUUCCAAAGGUAGUGAAUGGCUUUUAGCAAGCCCCUCUUGGUCAUUCGAACCAAUCAAGCUAUUGGAUAUGGAUCGACUCGAAAACCUAACGCAUUCCGGCUUUCAAGCCUACGUUUGCUGGAAUGGUUGAUCUUAUUCCAAGGCUGGCUGUUGUUGUGACUGAUUGGCACUGAUUCCCUCCGAUUUUGAUCUGCUAGCAACUCUGAUAGUGUUGCCAAUUCCGUACCUCUCUUUGACGGCCAAGCAAGCAAGAAGGGU